rfam:Listeria monocytogenes EGD-e, complete genome
CUAUAUAAAUGAAAAGAGAGCCAUGCGUCAACAUGACUCUCUCGCAAACACCAUUUAAGAUGGUGACAGCCUUUUAUAUGAUUUAUUU